rnacentral:rRNA from 1 species
UCCCAGACUCCUACGGGAGGCAGCAGUGGGGAAUAUUGCACAAUGGGGGAAACCCUGAUGCAGCGACGCCGCGUGAGCGAUGAAGUAUUUCGGUAUGUAAAGCUCUAUCAGCAGGGAAGAAAAUGACGGUACCUGAUUAAGAAGCCCCGGCUAACUACGUGCCAGCAGCCGCGGUAAUACGUAGGGGGCAAGCGUUAUCCGGAUUUACUGGGUGUAAAGGGAGCGUAGACGGUGAUGCAAGUCAGAAGUGAAAGCCCGGGGCUCAACUCCGGGACUGCUUUUGAAACUGUGUAACUGGAGUGCAGGAGAGGUAAGCGGAAUUCCUGGUGUAGCGGUGAAAUGCGUAGAUAUCAGGAGGAACACCAGUGGCGAAGGCGGCUUACUGGACUGUAACUGACGUUGAGGCUCGAAAGCGUGGGGAGCGAACAGGAUUAGAUACCCGUGUA